rnacentral:rRNA from 1 species
UACGGAGGGGGCCAGCGUUGUUCGGAAUUACUGGGCGUAAAGCGCGCGUAGGCGGAUCUGCAAGUCGGGGGUGAAAUCCCGAGGCUCAACCUCGGAACUGCCUUCGAUACUGCGGGUCUCGAGUCCGGGAGAGGUGAGUGGAAUUCCUAGUGUAGAGGUGAAAUUCGUAGAUAUUAGGAAGAACACCAGUGGCGAAGGCGGCUCACUGGCCCGGUACUGACGCUGAGGCGCGAAAGCGUGGGGAGCAAACAGG